AGCUCCAAUAGCGUAUAUUAAAGUUGUUGCGGUAAAAAAGCUCGUAGUUGGAUUUCUGUUGAGGACGUUGGGUCCACACUUUGUGUGCGAUUUCAUUCGACCUCGGCAUCCUCUCGGACUACCGUCCUGCGCUUGAUUGCGUGGGCGGGACACCGGGACUUUUACUUUGAGGAAAUUAGAGUGUUCACGGCAGGCUAGCGCCAGAAUACAUUAGCAUGGAAUAAUAAUAUAGGAUCUCGGUUCUAUUUUGUUGGUUUCUAGAAUUGAGAUAAUGAUUAAUAGGGACAAUUGGGGGCAUUCGUACUGACGCGUUAGAGGUCAAAUUCUUGGAUCGCGUCAUGACGAACUACUGCGAAAGCAUUUGCCUGGGAUGUU
rnacentral:rRNA from 1 species